UGGGGAAUAUUGGACAAUGGGCGCAAGCCUGAUCCAGCCAUGCCGCGUGAGUGAUGAAGGCCCUAGGGUUGUAAAGCUCUUUCAACGGUGAAGAUAAUGACGGUAACCGUAGAAGAAGCCCCGGCUAACUUCGUGCCAGCAGCCGCGGUAAUACGAAGGGGGCUAGCGUUGUUCGGAAUUACUGGGCGUAAAGCGCACGUAGGCGGAUCGAUCAGUUAGGGGUGAAAUCCCAGGGCUCAACCCUGGAACUGCCUCUAAUACUGUCGAUCUCGAGUUCGAGAGAGGUGAGUGGAAUUCCGAGUGUAGAGGUGAAAUUCGUAGAUAUUCGGAGGAACACCGGUGGCGAAGGCGGCUCACUGGCUCGAUACUGACGCUGAGGUGCGAAAGCGUGGGGAGCAAACAG
rnacentral:rRNA from 1 species